rnacentral:rRNA from 1 species
GCAAGCUUGCUUCUUUGCUGACGAGUGGCGGACGGGUGAGUAAUGUCUGGGAAACUGCCUGAUGGAGGGGGAUAACUACUGGAAACGGUAGCUAAUACCGCAUAACGUCGCAAGACCAAAGAGGGGGACCUUCGGGCCUCUUGCCAUCGGAUGUGCCCAGAUGGGAUUAGCUUGUUGGUGGGGUAACGGCUCACCAAGGCGACGAUCCCUAGCUGGUCUGAGAGGAUGACCAGCCACACUGGAACUGAGACACGGUCCAGACUCCUACGGGAGGCAGCAGUGGGGAAUAUUGCACAAUGGGCGCAAGCCUGAUGCAGCCAUGCCGCGUGUAUGAAGAAGGCCUUCGGGUUGUAAAGUACUUUCAGCGGGGAGGAAGGGAGUAAAGUUAAUACCUUUGCUCAUUGACGUUACCCGCAGAAGAAGCACCGGCUAACUCCGUGCCAGCAGCCGCGGUAAUACGGAGGGUGCAAGCGUUAAUCGGAAUUACUGGGCGUAAAGCGCACGCAGGCGGUUUGUUAAGUCAGAUGUGAAAUCCCCGGGCUCAACCUGGGAACUGCAUCUGAUACUGGCAAGCUUGAGUCUCGUAGAGGGGGGUAGAAUUCCAGGUGUAGCGGUGAAAUGCGUAGAGAUCUGGAGGAAUACCGGUGGCGAAGGCGGCCCCCUGGACGAAGACUGACGCUCAGGUGCGAAAGCGUGGGGAGCAAACAGGAUUAGAUACCCUGGUAGUCCACGCCGUAAACGAUGUCGACUUGGAGGUUGUGCCCUUGAGGCGUGGCUUCCGGAGCUAACGCGUUAAGUCGACCGCCUGGGGAGUACGGCCGCAAGGUUAAAACUCAAAUGAAUUGACGGGGGCCCGCACAAGCGGUGGAGCAUGUGGUUUAAUUCGAUGCAACGCGAAGAACCUUACCUGGUCUUGACAUCCACAGAACUUUUCAAAGAUGAAAAUGUGCCUUCGGGAACCGUGAGACAGGUGCUGCAUGGCUGUCGUCAGCUCGUGUUGUGAAAUGUUGGGUUAAGUCCCGCAACGAGCGCAACCCUUAUCCUUUGUUGCCAGCGGUCCGGCCGGGAACUCAAAGGAGACUGCCAUUGAUAAACUGGAGG